rnacentral:rRNA from 1 species
ACCGACGGGAGCUUGCUCCCUUAGGUCAGCGGCGGACGGGUGAGUAACACGUGGGUAACCUGCCUGUAAGACUGGGAUAACUCCGGGAAACCGGGGCUAAUACCGGAUGCUUGAUUGAACCGCAUGGUUCAAUCAUAAAAGGUGGCUUUUAGCUACCACUUGCAGAUGGACCCGCGGCGCAUUAGCUAGUUGGUGAGGUAACGGCUCACCAAGGCGACGAUGCGUAGCCGACCUGAGAGGGUGAUCGGCCACACUGGGACUGAGACACGGCCCAGACUCCUACGGGAGGCAGCAGUAGGGAAUCUUCCGCAAUGGACGAAAGUCUGACGGAGCAACGCCGCGUGAGUGAUGAAGGUUUUCGGAUCGUAAAACUCUGUUGUUAGGGAAGAACAAGUACCGUUCGAAUAGGGCGGUACCUUGACGGUACCUAACCAGAAAGCCACGGCUAACUACGUGCCAGCAGCCGCGGUAAUACGUAGGUGGCAAGCGUUGUCCGGAAUUAUUGGGCGUAAAGCGCGCGCAGGCGGUUUCUUAAGUCUGAUGUGAAAGCCCCCGGCUCAACCGGGGAGGGUCAUUGGAAACUGGGGAACUUGAGUGCAGAAGAGGAGAGUGGAAUUCCACGUGUAGCGGUGAAAUGCGUAGAGAUGUGGAGGAACACCAGUGGCGAAGGCGACUCUCUGGUCUGUAACUGACGCUGAGGCGCGA